GGCAGAAUGAUAUGCUUUGGUUGUGUUCCCACCCAAAUCUCAUCUUGAAUUCCCACAUGUUGUGGGAGGGACCUGGUGGGAAGUAAUUGAGUCAUGGGGGCAGGUCUUUCCCAUGCUGUUCUCAUGAUAGUGAAUACGUCUCACAAUGUCUGAUGGUUUUAGAAAGGGUAGUUUCCCUGCAGAAGCUCUCUCUUUGCCUGCUGCCAUCCAGGUGAGACAUGACUUGCUUUUUCUUGCCUUCCAACAUGAUUGUGAGGCUUCCUCAGCUACGUGGAAACAUCCUUCUUAGAAAUUCCUAAGGCUCAAUGCUGUGUGGAAGAUUCUGAGAAAGAAAAUAGUUUCCGAUCUUUGGGAUUCCCGAGAUGGUCCAAUCUGCAAAAAGUUCAUUGCCAUUUCCAUCAAGGACACUGAGAACAAGAGUCUUAUCUGGAUUGGAUCCUGGGAAUUGAGAAGCUUCAGCAGGGCUUCCGCUGGGACUAGGAUCAGGAUGUGGACACCCCCAACCUGGACCAUCUGGCCGGGGAGGGCGUCAAGGCCAAGUACCUCAUGCCGCCCCUUGUCACAAUGACCUCCCCGUCCCACUUCACUGCCAUCCCAGGCAGAGAGCUGAUCAAAACAGCAAAAGCAAAGCAGUGCCCCUGGCCCAGUUCUGAAGCCAACCUUCCUUAAUCACCCAGACCCAUCACUGGUUAGGACUUGCUGUGGAUUCUCAGGUGAUUCCAUCUCAGGAUACAGGGACUGAGACGGUGUAUGCAACAUCUCAGACCCAGAAACCGUUGAUUCUGCCUAAAAACAGAGCAAUAACCACAUCCCAUCCUCUUGAUUUAAAUGAAAGGUUAUGGGGGAAUAAAAGAUGAA
rnacentral:lncRNA from 1 species